rnacentral:rRNA from 1 species
GUACACGCUGUGACUAGCAUAUCAAUAAGCGGAGGAAAAGAAACUAACAAGGAUUCCCCUAGUAACGGCGAGUGAAGCGGGAAGAGCUCAAAUUUGAAAUCUUAAAGGGUUUCCCUUUACGAAUUGUAGUUUAAAGAAGUGUUUUCUGUUGAGGUUUUGGUAAAAGUUCUUUGGAAUAGGACAUCAUAGAGGGUGAGAAUCCCGUAUUUGACCUUUACUUUCAACUUUGUGAUACACUUUCAAAGAGUCGGAUUGUUUGGGAAUGCAGUCCAAAAUGGGUGGUAAAUUUCAUCUAAAGCUAAAUAUUGGCGAGAGACCGAUAGCGAACAAGUACCGUGAGGGAAAGAUGAAAAGAACUUUGAAAAGAGAGUUAAACAGUACGUGAAAUUGUCAAAAGGGAAGCGUUUGACACCAGUGUUGUUUUUUCUGAAAAUCAAUUAAAGAACUGUUUAUGCUAAGCUGUUUAGACUUUAUCAGCUAUACUGUUUAGUUUUGAGCUUUUCUUUAAUGCACUUUUCAGUUAACAAGUCAACAUCAAUUUCUUUUGCUGUAAAAAAGCUUGAGGAAGGUGGCUUGAGAUUCGUCUUAAGUGUUUAUAGCCUCUUGCCUAUGCAGUCGGAGAGAUUGAGGUCUGCAGCGUAGAUCCUUCGGGGCUAAAUGCAUUUGUGCUAAGUUAUAGCAUUUUCAUAGACAACUUGUUGACUAUGAUUUGUCUUGUAGCUUACUCGCUUAUGUUAUUUUACCUACGCUUAGGAUGUUGACUGAUAUGUAGUCGUA